GGUCCUGUCUAGCCCAGCUUGUAGAGCAUGGCAUUAACACUGCUACGGUUAGGGGUUGGAUUCUCGCUCAGGACACCCA